GUAGGGUGCAAGCGUUAAUCGGAAUUACUGGGCGUAAAGCGUGCGCAGGCGGUUAUAUAAGACAGAUGUGAAAUCCCCGGGCUCAACCUGGGAACUGCAUUUGUGACUGUAUAGCUAGAGUACGGUAGAGGGGGAUGGAAUUCCGCGUGUAGCAGUGAAAUGCGUAGAUAUGCGGAGGAACACCGAUGGCGAAGGCAAUCCCCUGGACCUGUACUGACGCUCAUGCACGAAAGCGUGGGGAGCAAACAGGAUUAGAUACCCUGGUAGUCCACGCCCCUAAACGAUGUCAACUGGUUGUUGGGUCUUCACUGACUCAGUAACGAAGCUAACGCGUGAAGUUGACCGCCUGGGAGUACGGCCGCAAGGUUG
rnacentral:rRNA from 1 species